UACGUAGGGUGCGAGCGUUGCCCGGAUUUAUUGGGCGUAAAGGGCGCGUAGGCGGUGAGAUGCGUCCGUUGUGAAAUCGCCCGGCUCAACUGGGCGGGGUCAGCGGAUACGGUCUCACUUGAGCAAGCUAGGGGGCAAUGGAAUUCCCGGUGUAGUGGUGGAAUGCGUAGAUAUCAGGAGGAACACCAAUAGCGAAGGCAGCUCGCUGGGACGGUACUGACGCUAAGGCGCGAAAGCGUGGGGAGCGAACAGG
rnacentral:rRNA from 1 species